GAGGAGUCGUGUUUUUGAGAAUGCUGCUGUGUCCAACACAGCGUUGCCUGUGAGUUGAACCUGAGUUCACUGAACCCAGCAUACACCUGUGAAAGGAUACCUUCAGGCACUGCCCCUUCGUCUGGAGCAGCUGGUGAGCAUAUCUGUGCUGAUUCAGCAAUCAGUUUUAAAGCUGGGAGAGGUGAGCUGACCCUGCCAGUGGGCGGCAUCAAGCUUGUCAUGAAGCUCUGCAGAAGCCUGAUAAAGACCCAUUCAUUUGAAUCAGGUGUGUUGUAGCAGGGCAACAUCUAAAACAUGCAGGACUGUGUUCCCUGAGGACCGGGGUUGGGAAACAUAAUAGUUGUUUAUGAGUGUGUCCUUUAUUAUAGUAAUUUCAGCCCCUUUGCUGAGGCUGUUGGUUGUUUAUUUGUCAGGUGCUUUUCAGCCACAGCCCCUUAACUUUUAUGUUAUUUCAAUAAAUGAUGCUUUAUUUAAUUUAUUUUGUUCUAGUUAUGUUACAUCCAGGUCCAUGUACCACUUAACAAUAAUCUCACCUUAUUCUGGUGAGAUAUGCCUGCUUAAGUUAACAAUAUGUCAUAUGUGUUAAGCCUGCCCCAUAAUUGACCAGAUAAGGUCCUGAUCUGGCCCUUCCGACAACCACGGGUGCCGUCCGAAUUUAGACUGAUUUGAGCAAAUGUUCCUGUCAUGUGAAGGGUUAACAGGCGCAAUUUCAAUGUGAUCGGACACAUUAAACACCCGAUUUAAAAUCAUAACUAUUAAACAUGAUUACGACUGAACAGCGUUUGGAGUGUGAGCAUAACCCCGCAAUAACCAAUGAGAGUGAGUUUACUGGGAAACAGAUGUUGCGUACUUUACAAGCCAAGUUGAUUCUUCUCAGCCAUAACUUCAUUCAGCACAAAACAUGGCACAUACAACAGCUAUUAACUGACCCCGUCGAAAGUCUACCUCUAUAUUCUGAAAUCUUGUUAAAUCACGUGAGUUUUUGUGACCUUCCAUAUCACAAUUCACAGUAUACUGUUGCUUUGUUUUGUUACUUAGGUAAAACCAAACAAAGGAUGCUUAUGUUUCAAAAUAACACAUUUAAACAUAACGAUGGAGGCAGCAGUGGAUGAACUACUCCUGUGCGCUGUUUUGAUUUUCUCUAUGGACUCUGCUGUGGGGAGUAUGCAGUUCAUAACUGACACAAAACCUUAAGUUCUGUUGUAGAUUUUUUAGAUGAGCCUUUUGAGAUCUGCUUUAUCUCUUAUUGUCAUAGCUAUGUUUCACUGAGCUCAUGCCUGCCUUCCCCUGGUUUUGCAUGCAACACACCUGACAACAUCCAAGUAGCUAAUACGACCUCACUUCGGAAAAAUCCUGGACUAUCCCUUUCGUUAGCCCAUUGAUCUGCAGUCUCUGAUUUCUCACCUGCACAGCAGUCAGUCAGUCAGUCAUCAUCUACCGCUUUAUCCUCCGUCAGAGGGUCGCGGGGGGUGCUGUGCCAAUCUCAGCUACAUCGGGCGAUAGGCGGGGUACACCCUGGACAGUUCGCCAGUCCAUCGCAGGGCCACACACAGAGACAGACAAACAACCAUUCACUCUCACACUCACUCCUAUGGUCAAUUUAGAGUACUAACUUUAAAUGUAUGAUGUCUUCUCUUGUAGCUACGUACUAUCGAGCUAUUUGCUACUUUGCUUGGCGUCAGAAAAUAUGUCUACUGCAGCUGUUGAGCACACCUACACCAAAAUCUUUUGACUUCAUUUUUAAUUUCUGACAAUGUCUGCAGGGGUUUGUCAUGUGGAUCAGCAGCAGAUUGACAGAACAUGACCUGCUGCAGGCAGAGCAGGGGAGAGGCACGUAUCAAAAUAGCUCUCUAAAUCAAUCCCAUUAACUGUCUGUAUGGAGCUAUAUUAGCUGUUUGUUUCCCAGUUGUCAUAGCAGACUGUAAUUACACAUGUAAACACACACACACCAGUGCUUAUUUAAUAUUACUUUAACACAUUAAAUGGCUUCGACCAUCAACCCCCCUAAAUUCAGACAUUUUCCUGCUGUAGGAACAAAGUGGGGUUAACUUGACCAUGCGUGUGCACUUUUCAAGUACAUGUUCUUUUCUUAACAGUGAAAAGUAAUCGUCCCAGCAACAAGUCCACAGAGAAAAUCACAGAUUUACGUCACAACACAUAGUAAGUUGUUUUUAUUACAUCAGUAUUUGAAGUUGGGCCACACGGCUGGUAUAGUGGUUAGCAUAGUUGCCUUUCCAGCAAGAAGAACCAGGUCCGAGUUGGAACAAGGGAAUUUCUGCAUGCAGUUUGCAUGUUCUCCCUGUGUGUGCGUGGGUUUUCUCUGGCUUCCUCCCAUGGUCCAAAAACAUGCAAUAUGGGGAUUAGGUCAAUUGUUCACUAUAAACUGACCAUAGGCAGGAGAUUGACAGUGAAUGUGAAUGUCUCUAUAUGUGGCCUUGUGGUGGACUGGCAAACUGUCCAGGGUGUACCCUAUGUCAGCUGAGAUUGGCACAGUACGCAGCAGUGACUUUUACAAAAACUUAAUCUAGCCAUUUAUUUGGAGCAACCUUUUUAUUUAACGCAAAAACGUAACUUUUUAAGUUUAAUGGUGUCACUGUUUAACGAUUGUAAGGCAGAACAACUGUUCCCUGAAUGCUGCAGACUGAAUUCUGUUUCUUCACCUGCUGACUUGUUUCUUUUUUAUGUCAUGACAGUUGUGAUGUUAAACAGGCAUAACCACUUUGAUGCUGCUCUAUGGAAACAUGUCCAUAGAGCAGCAUCAAAUCUGUAGCCUAAGGAUAAUAAAUGCAGCUGCAGGUGAGAAGCGUUGGCUUGCAUCUGAAGAUGGUAAUUGUGUGUGGGUUUGUCUUCAUGUUGUUAUGACAACUGACGAUUGAUUACUUUGCAGAAAACAACACAAACCUGGAUAAACAGCACAGUAUAAGUAUAAACAGUCUAUAUCUAAUUCCACUGGGCCAUGCAGCUGCAUUGCUUCUGAAAACUAUUAAAACACUCAACUGUUGAACUGAGUGACACUAUUGCGCCUCAGGCUCCAUCCACACUGAUAUGAUUUACUUUUUAAUCACAUAAUUGAAUCAGCCCCCACACAUGCAUCACAUCAGUGUAUUUAGUUUAAAUUAAAAUGCUCUGCAUGGGACAACAUUUACCUGAUAAUGCUUUUCCACAAAAUCAAAAAACAUAUCCACAAUACAAUUAAACCAUGGGUCAUUCAAAUAAGCUCUUGAAGACCUGAGCUUAACUCAAAGAAUGAAAUCCAUCUUGGAUCUGUCAGGCAAAUUUGGAACUCAGUGCAUGUGUGGCACAUGGUAGUUUGUCAAACACUGGAUCGGUGACAGAGUGAGAGUCAAACUGUCAGUCUAAAACCUACAGACCCUUUGUUUACUAUAAUAUAUGAUAGUGUUUUCCCACUUUAUAAACAUGAUAUGUUACAAAUGUGUGCAUAAAAUACCAUGUCUAUUAUUACUGCCAUUUCUGUGAGUUACAAGAAGGUUCCAGAAUUCUGUUCAAGACUGUAAUAUCGUUUUAUGCAUGUGCUAUUUGUUAAUUCUUAGAUGAAAGGCAAGCAAAAGCAGAUUUAUUGACCCAAAAUAGACCAAAAAAAGUGACACCAACAUUAUCCUCCUGAUUUCUAAUCUGUCAUGACUCAACUACUAGCAGUAAAUCAAAGCAUUGCUGCCACUUUCAGUCUCUAACAUUUCCCAAUAAUUGCCAUUAGUCACAGGAUAUGUAUAACGACAAAAGUGAUGCAAGUAAAUGACCCAUGAAUGUGUCUGUUAUAUUAUGGCUGUUAAAUAUUUCAACUCAAACGAGUGAAGCAAAUGAUGCAAUCUUUGCAUCUUCUUUCACAUACUUUUCACAUAAUUUGCUUUGAUUUUAGUGUGAAUAUGAUAUAGGUUUGUAACUUGAGGAGUUACAAUUAAUAUCUGAUUUUUACUAAUACAAGUAUGGUGAAUCCAUAAUUAGUCUUCAUUUUGAAAGUCUAUUGUUUUGAAUAGCUGAAGAGGAAAUUUGAUGUUUAACAUUUUAUAGAUCAAAUGAUCAUAAUGUUAACGUCAAAUUUAAUUUCUCAAUAAGAACAAGUGGUUGAAUUAAACUGGAAUUUUCCUGAAGACAAAUGAUGGGGCUGAAUUUUUUUCAGCAGGUAAUAGAUGAUGUGAUCAUCGCUCCAGGAAAUUUAUUUGAAUUAUUAAGCUAUAAUAACUGUGCCAUUCAGGCUCUAACAUGCCUCCGCCUCAUGUUUCCUGCGGCCGAACCCUUUCCACUUUCCAACAGGUAUGAACCAACACAUUGGUAUUCUGAGCCCAUGUUGGUGCAGGCAACAGACAGCAGCUCCCGCAACAUCACACAACAUCAAGGACAAGGAGAACCCUAAUGAAAUACAGUAUUCUGGCAGCAGGAGGAUGAAAUGUUCCCACGUUCUGUGAUAAAAUGCCUACAAACAUCAUCUAAAAGUGUCCAAGAGCCAUCUAGAAUGAGUGCACCUGAGGGUUACUGAAGAACGUCAGACAUGCCAAAACCACAGCUUACAGGCAAUCAAGCCUUCUACAUCAAGAUGAUUUAAGUGUUGGGAAAGACUGACAUGGAUUCUGUUAUAAAAGUAGAUAAUCAGAGAAACCAGAAGUUCCUUCAGUCGGUGUCUGUUGAUCUGUUGAAGUCCAGGUACUGAUUUACUACUGAUUUAUCUAACUGCACAAUAAACAACUUCUCUCAAGUAUGGUUAAAAUAGGAAAACCAGUGUCUCACUUCUAACACUUAGAAACUCAAAACCAUCAAAAAGCUGAUUAAUAAACCCUCAACUGUUACUAUCAUCAGAGGAAGGGAAGGGUUGUAUUUUCAAACUUUGAAAGGGACGACCAAGGAAGGACACAUCAAAGGCAAUAUGAGUUUUAAAGUUGUUUUUAAAUCAAGUGAUUUUCAACUAAAUACAUCCUCAAAAUGUUCCCCCAUUAGAGGCCGUUCACAAAUGACACAUGACACACCUGACAUCCACCACCUUGGAAAAGCCACAAAGAAUAAAAACGAUGGUGCACAUGUUUGUGUAGCUGAGCUGAGCGAUCAAACAGGAAAAAAUGUAAUUAAUGUUACCAUCACUUCACCACAAGCACAUGCUUCAAAUAUCUUCAACAUUUUGUCACAUUUAGCUUCAAACAAUGUUUGAAAAAGUGGUGUGAAUUUUUUUAUCUAAAUCUAAAUGUUAAAUCUAAAUGCUAAAUCUAAAUCUAAAUCUACAUCUAAAUGCUAAAUCUAAAUCUAAAUCUAAAUCCAAAUCUAAAUCUAAAUCUUUCGGUUGAAACUAAAUAUUUAGCUAAUAUGAAAAUUCACACUGCCGGUAAGCAGAAGUACCAAAAUAAAAGCUCAAGGAGGUAAUUGGCCUGUCCUGUGAUCCGCUGGCUCAGACGUCUCUGUUGUUAGAUACCUAAACACUUGCAAAAUGUGCAAAUGAGGUGGGUUGGGUCGGCCUUGGGCUUCCUUUUUUCCGCUCAUUAAACACAUUUCUUGCAGGUUGUAAAUGAUACGUUGUUGGUUGUGAAUCCUCAUUCACGUGUGGUGAAGAGUAAAUCUGGUCGCCUGCUUGAUGGAGAGGGGCAGACCUGACACCACUGCGUGCUGGCCCCCUACACUUUGAGCAUGUUAGUUUCAUUUUUGUAGCAUUUUUUGAUGCGCAGCGUGAACUGAAGGGGCUCAAAUAUCCCACUCUGCAUUUUGUGCUGCUAUGGGCAGAACGACUCAGACAUCAGUACCAGCAAAAUGCCAACGAUACAGCUUUUAUGUUGGUACUUCUGGUUACCGGCAGUGUGAAUUUGCACAUUAGCAAAAUUUAGAUUUAGCAUUUCGAUUUCGAUUUCGAUUUAGCAUUUAGAUUUAACAUUUAGAUUUAGAUUUAGAUUUAACAUUUAGAUUUAGAUUUAAUAUUUAGACUUGCGGCCUGGAGGUGGACCCAAAUGCAAGAGGCUGUCCGUAGAUGAUCAACAGUUUAUUUAACAAAGGUUUUCUAAGUCCUUAAUUCAACAAAAAGUGGAGAAUAAACACAGAAAAAGGCAAGGUUAGAAUUAACGCUCAGCUCAUUCACAGGAAUUCACAAGAGUCAUUUCACUGGAGGACUCUCAACCACUGGUUUUAGAAGUGAUACAUGAAAGACAGGGUGCACCUUAAGUGCUGUGGGGAGCUUUAGUCAGACGGCACUGGGGUUGAUAAUGCAGUCGAUGAUGUACGGACCGAUGUAUCUGGGAGCCAUCUUCCGAGAUUCUGUCUGGAGGGAAAGGUCCUGUGAUGAUAACCUGACCCGUUGAACCACCUUGUAUUCAGGGGUCGGUGUUCGAUGGCGGUCGCCAUUUGUCGGUUCCUGGCUGCUGUUCUCUCCAGAGCAGCUCGGGCUUCCCACCGGACUCUGCGGGCUCGUCUGAACUGGGCUUGCACAGAUGGGACAGCAACUUCUGUCUCCUGGCAGGGGAACAAGGGAGAGACGAGAGACUGACUGAGGACCUCAAUGCUUGGCAGAAGGCUGUCCAUACUCGGGAGGUGAACUGGGGACCUCGGUCUGAAACAAUGUCCAGGGGAAUGCCAUGUAGAUGGAAAACAUGCUGGACCAGCAGGUUGGCAGUUUCUAAGGCUGAUGGGAGUUUGGGGAGAAGGACAAAAUGCACUGCCGACAAUGGUUAGAAUGGUGUUAUUACCUUCUGAAGGAGGGAGUCCAGUGACAAAGUCGACAGCGAUGUGUGACCAGGGCGAGGAGGAAUGGGCAAAGGCUGCAGUAGACCAGCAGGGGGGCGGUGAGAGGAUAUAUUGCGAGCGCAGGCAGAGCAGGCAGCAAUGAAUUCCCUGGUGUCUGCAGCCAUUGAGGGCCACCAGAAAUGCUGUGAACACCAGGGUGACAGGCCAACUUGGAUGAGUGCCCCCACUGAAGUACUGGGAACCUAGCAGAUGGUGGAACGAACAGUCGGUCAGGGGGCAUCCGUCUGGGGCUGGAUGAUCCUGGAGGGCCUCCUGAAUUGCCUGCUCCACCUCCCACCUUACCGCUCCUACCACACAGGAUGGCGAGAAGAUUGUUUCCAUCAUAGGUUCUUCCUCAGCAGGGCCAAACUUGCGCGAGAGGGCAUCUGGCUUCUGAUUUUUAGGGCCUGGACAAUAGGUGAAUACGAAGUUGAACCUCACUAAGAAGAGUGCCCACCAAGCCUCUGUGAGCUAAGCAGAAACGAGACCCACAGAGGGGGCGGAGGAGGAGAAGGAGACGGCCUUUAACAGUAGCAGUGCUCCAGCCCCAAGACAACAACUUUAACUCAACUAAAGCUGUCUCUCCAAGGGAGAUUUACAAGCUUGUAGCAGGCUACAUUCUAAUGUGAUUCUAAUUUGGUUGUAUCAACUGCGGAAGCCCCAACUUUACGUAAGAUAAUCAAUAAAAUCCCUGCUGCUUCUGCAACAAAGUUGACUUGGACACGGAGAAAGAACUGAAAAAGAUACGUGUAUGUUUGGAAUGAAUUUACACCACAGCAAUUUGUGGACAACCAACAGUAAGUGUUUUAAGCUGAAUCCAUAAUGUUUCUUUGCAGCACGUGAAAGCUGCCUUCAUAUACCGGGUGAGUGAAUGACACUGGUGAGAGAGUCAGCAGACACAUAAUGCUAUAAGGCUUUCGUGCUUGUUGUAACAAGCUACUUUUAAAUAUGCCCUAGCACUGCCUUAGCACUUAUCAAAUGGUUAAAGUCAUGGGAUAGGAAAGCUCAUAGUUCAGUGUUUCCUUGAUAAAGGGUGGGGGUAGGGACAAUGCAUGGGUCUUAAAGUAAGACCCUGGAAACACAGAUCCUUUGGAAAAUAUAAAACCUGACUGAACUACUGUCGGGAAUAAAAGACCCUGAAAAAUGUCAGACCCUAGGAACAUCAGAUCUUGGAAACAUAGGACUAGAAGACAUCAUACCUUGGAAAUAUAGGACCUGGGUAUAGGAUCGUGAUUGGACCAUGAAAAUAUUAGACUUUGGGAGCAUAUGACCCUAAACCGUCAAACUUGUGGAACAUAUCGGGUCCAGAUCGUAAUAAAAUGGGACACUAGAAACAUUGGACCUUAGAUGUUAGAUGUUGGGGUUAUCUGCUCUCCUUGAUGUUGUCUAUGUACAGUGCCUUGAGAUAAUGUAUGUUAUGAUUUGGUGCUAUAAAAUAAAAUUGAAUUGAAUAGAAUUAACACUAGAAACAUUGUACCUCAGAUGUUAUAUGUUCUGGGCAUUAAACCCUUGAGACAACAGAACAUUGGAUCUUGGGAACAUCAGAUACUGGAACACAGUUAGCUGUCAACAUUCAUCAGCUCACACUGUUAAGUAAAAAUAAGUGUGAAUUCGAGUUGCAUCAGAAGUCAUAGGUCAAAUCUGGGAAUGAAGUGCACUCCAGUUCCCAAAUGACCAGUGGUUAAUGUUAACGUUAUAGUAAGGUUCACUAUCCAGCAAGCGAAUCUAGCCCAUUUGCCUGUACAAUGCAGUAGCAACAUGUUCAUUGACACUAGUGGGACAGUACUGUGCGUACGUCUUAUACUGGACAAAAAAAGUGUAUUAAAAAACCCUGUAAAAUCUAAAACGUCACCAUUGAAUCAUUAACUGAGUGUAUAAGUAGUUGAAACGAGUGGAUGACUUGAAAUUACCUCAGGCAGCAUUCCAAUUUUCAUUUUCUCCUCGUAGCUGGGAAAUUAUGACCUCCGAGUACAACUGUGAGCAUGAUAACAUUCUAAUGUCAGUAUUUACAGCUUAAGGCUACAUUUUACCUUCGUGCAGCUGUGUAUUAAACCAGCUUUAAUUCCAAGGGUUUUAUAAUGUAAUAUAUUCACUCUUAGUUGUUUUGUUUUAGGUUGACUUAAAUGUUAGAUGGAACCUAAAUCCAGAUGUUUAAUGGUGAAAUUCACCUUUGAUUUCCUCCAUAAUUAUUUAUUUUAACAACUGUUUUAUUGACUGUGUCUUGUUCACUUUUGUUUCUUCUUAUUCACCUCCAGUGGGUGUGGACAGACUAAAUACAAGAAUCUAAUAAAAAUAGACAUCAGUGAGGAAUUCAUCCCCUUUGGCCAGGGCCUGAACGUCUUGACACUCCCUUCCUGAAUCACACUCGGAUUUGGGAUUCUGUGAACUUGCAGUUUUUGGAACUGGGUUCAAAGGGUCGUUAUAUGAAUAAGACUUAAUUAAAGAAGCAGCAAGUAGGAACAACAUUUCAACCUGCUCUGUUUGUUGUUAAUUUUAGAGCAUGAUUGUCAUGGAGAUGAUCCAGCAUCCAGCUUGACUCCAAAUAUUAACUGGGUUUCUUCCAACUUUCUCUCAAUUCAGAAGCGUAUUUCCAAAGAGUCUUUCAAGGAAAAUAUGAAAUGAUGUCUACUUCUAUGAACAAUAUUAUUAUUUAUCUAGGAGGGUGACCAUGUCCUACAAAAUGACGUUGCCCAGUGAGAGUUAAAUGGUUUCAUAGUGAUCCAAUACAGACCACCAUUAUACCUAGGUAGAGCACAGUUGAUCAAAGCAGAUUUGGCAAAUUGUUGGUGUGGAUUUUCCAGUGCAAUGGAUGGAUGUUUGUAGCUCUGCAUCAUUAGAAACUGGACAUUUUCAGACAUGUCCCCAGAAUUGGGCCAGGAAAUUGUCCAUUGUCUGGGUCAGGCAGUUCACAACAGCAGGUGAAUGUCCAGAACAUCCAAGUGAGGGAGUGGCACUGCCUGUAGACAAAAUCCAGUGAUUAUUUUUGUCACCACAACAAAAUUAGACAAACACUUCUUUAAAAUAGAGUGAUGGGUUGUUGUUAGGCUUCAGCUCACCUAAUUUCUCUUCCUUGCACGUUAUUUUUGCUUGAGUCACCUGAGGCUUCGACCACAGACACUCUCAUUCACAUUUCUGGAAUGUUUUUGAGUCUCUUUGAACGUCUGCAUGCACGCAACACACACACAGACUCUUACUGUAUAUCAUUAUUAUUACAUUAAACUAUGAGAUGAUGUACACCCAGAGCUACGGAUCAUGACACACUGAGGAUAGUAUUAUUAUAGAUAGUAUUAUGGCAUUAUUGAUAAAACCAUGUUACACAACAUCAGUUGAGUGGAAAUGGCUUAAGCUGUUAUGCGAAACAUGUCAGCAGUUUGUGCUAACGACAAGAAACCCAACAAAUCUUUGACACUGUUGAAACUGUACCAUCCCAGAAUUCACAUCAACCUAAUACCAUCAUGAGCCUGAUUCUUCACACACAGACACACACACUCACACACACACACACACACACACACACACACACUGAUAUCCAGAGCUGUGGGAUUGUUUGUCUCAAAGUCUGCAAAUAAAUGUCUUUUUUAUAUGUGAUAUGUUUAUAUGUGAAACUGAGGAAAUGUUAACAGUAAGAAGAGAUGAAAAGUUAUGGAAAUUGUAUUGGCAAGAAUUUUUUCUACAUUUAUUUUUACUUAUUGCUUAAAAUCCUCUUCACACCCAGAUUGUAAUCUAUGAAUUAAUACAUUGUGACGAGGCCGGGCCUGAAAAAACGCCAUCUAAUCAUAAUGAAGGGCCCAAACAAAAUAAUUGGAUCAUGAUGCAUCAAUCAAACUGCCAUUGGCCCCUCAAACUCCCCAUGCAUGCACCCCUCUCCGUGCACUGAUCGCGCAUGUUCAGAAGACAACGCCAGAGCUUAUGCUAGCUUGCUAAAUCCAAUGAGACAUGAGACAGUUGCAGAAAAGGCAGAAAAGGUGCCAACGACAGGUGUUGGUCACAAAUGAAAUACGUUUUUUGGAAGGCUACUGCCAAGAAAAAGGCUGACAGAGCGAUCCCAGACCAGAGUGAUCAUUGGUGCUGUGUUUGAUGGCGACAACUGAAAGCCCAGACAGGGUUGCAAAGUGAUGACAAGGUGGCCCUGUUUCUACUGGACAGGUAGGUUAACCUUAUGUCUUUGAGAUUAUUUGUCCAAAAAAGUAAGUGUCACUGAAAUGAACCGAAAGUUACAGAUGCUGCACAGUGCUUGUGAAUCCUUGUUUGUGCUCUGGAGGCAGUAGCUUCGGAGUAGGGAUGCCAACUGUCCUGUAUUAGCCGGGACGUCCCGUAUAUUGGGCCUAAUUUAUUUGUCCCGUACGUGCCCUCUCUUGUCCCGUUUAUUGACUGCUACGCUGAUCUAACCACUGAAUGAUACAACAACAGCAGCAGCAGUGCUGAUCACGACACUUGAGAAUCAUCGACGACACCUGUCAUCAUCCAAUCACAGUGUGAUGAUGACAGGUGCUGUCCCACCUCGCACCGGGAGACAAGGUGGGGCUAUGAGUCCCGCAUCAGUUGCACAUGAUCAGUAUACUGCAAGUAAAUGUGCAAAUUCAUCCAAAUUAAACUACAAUGAAUAAACCUGCAAAAAAAAAGAGACUGUGCAGCUACAACAAAUUAUGGUAAGUUAAAAGGACGUGGGGUAAGCCCGUCAGUGGUGAUUCAACAAAAGCCUUCUGCACUUUAUGUUGGAGGGAAUUUUCAGUUGGCCACAGAUGGUGCACAUUCACUUCUAUUUUAUUCCUCAAAAACUGCUAUCAUUAUGACAAAUGCCUUAAAACAAUACACUGUGUAACCGAGAUAAGGGCGUCUAUACUGGGUACGUAAAUAAACAAUCGAAGGACACGAAUGGGCGGUGUUGACGCCAACAGCGUCUCACUUUUAUUCCACUUCCUUUUUUUUUUGUAUGUAAAACAACGCUUCUUCCCGGCAACAACAACCUCCGGUCUCACAAUAAAACUACACAUCAGGUAUGAGAAACACUACCUGACAAACUCUACUAAGAGCUGCCAUAAUAAAAAAAUAUGUUACACACUGUUUAUUCACACAAAACUUUUGUCCCUUAUUUCAUAGUGACAAAGUUGGCAACCCUACUUCGGAGGGAAAUCUGACUUUUGAAUUCCAAAUGUAGCCUGCUCGAACAGCUUUUCCACAAAAUCCAACCCUACCUUUAACUUAUUCAACCUCUGGUUUCUUCAGACUAGAAUGUUCCUUGCACUGACAGUGUUAUCAAAGCAAUUAUAACAAUAUGGGAAAAUAUAUUGUGAGAAAAGCAAAGAUGGCUGACACAUCACCACUUCCAUCCACUGUACAAAAAUGACACUUGACGUCUACUUUAAAUUUAUAUAUCCAACAGAGGGCAAUAGAGGUAUUUUGGCCUCAGUAAUGGGAGCUGUCAUGUGUUCGUCUUUAUAUACCUUCAUUGGCACAGCCUCAAUGCAACCGCAGUGUGAUGUGUAACAGCAUGUACACACUUAAUCUUUUCUUAGCUUUUGGCAUUUUUAGACACUUUGCAUUUGGAAGCUUAUUUCACAUCAAAGCACAGUCUGCCUCGCAUGACCUCAGGUGUCAUCAGUGGAUUUACACAGUUACAGACAUGUCAUCAGCUCCAGGCUUUUGAGCUAAUUUCUACUUGUGAAAGUGUUUUUGUGAAUAAAUGUCUCCUCCUGUUGGGCCCCCUUUACUCCUGCAGUCGUGCAGAUUGUGGGUUUUUCAUAGUAAACUAAUGAUACACUGAUGCAGCCCAACCUCUGACUUGAGCUUGUUGUGCAGCUGCAGCAGCAAUUCUCCCACAGCACUAAAAAAAACAUAGGGAGAAGGUGGAGGAAUUUUCAUGGUGGGGGAGAAGUGGUUUGCGUGCAUCUAAAAAUAAUUUUAACUUACUCCAACAAUAAUUCCAGUGGUGGGCGGGCUCUACCUGGCCACAGGCAAGCUGACAACACCUACUCCGCACAUAUUUAAAGAGUGUGUGUGCAGAAUUUAGAGCUAGAUUGGUGAUGGAGAUAGACUUCCAGGGGGAGAGGGAGUAAUUGACGACAGGCUGACACUGUGACAUACAGGCUGAGGCAGUUUGUGUCAAAGAGAGAGAUUCUUCGACUGAAAGAGACGAGUAGAUGCAGCAGCUCGGACUGCAGAGGUGCCUUGAUUAUUAUAGGUGACAGUGUUCAGUCUAAGAGCAGGAGGAAAAAACACUGCAAGCUCAGCAGUAAAAACAAGGAAGCAAAAACGUGAGAACGUGAAAGGAAACAAGAGAAGGGGAUCGUUAUAUAACAGUAAAAUCGAAGAAGAUCCUCAAACAUCAAUCAUGUCCUCAUCAUCCUCAUGCAGACCGGCCCCUGUGGCCCUGGGGCCUUUGGAAACAACCAGUAACCUCUCCAGCACCUCUUUUUCCUCUUCCUCCCUGCAUCCCUGUCCUCCACGGUCUCGCCGCUCCCGUCGGGUCCUGUAUCCGGCCUUCCGGAGCAAGAGGCCCCUGCCGAGGGAGGCCCCAGACCAGGCAUGUCGCUGGCUCCUUUUCCUUUCUGCACUUGUCUUCCUACAAAUCUACACUGAGGAGACACACACCUGCACAGAGGUCCAGAGCCAGUGCCCAGACCUGUCAGUAUAUCAACCCCAGGAGGGUGAAGGGAGCAUGUGUGCAGCAUUGGGGUGGACAGGAGAGGAAUCCUGGAGGGUCCAGACUGUGGGAGGAGCAUCAGAGGUUCAGUUGGAGUGCGUGGUGGCCUGAUGGGGAAGAGAACAGUAAAAGAAGUGGAAGACAGUGGUUAAAAAGAAUAACACCACUGGACGAUUGUGGAGCCGUCUUCCGCUGUUG